rnacentral:rRNA from 1 species
GCCGCAAGAGUGCCGGGGCGAAAUCUUCGUCACGAGGCUACGGUGUCAGUAGGGUUGGGAGUGGGAGCCUCCCAUACGGGUUGAAGCAUGACCGGAAGGACAUGUGGACAGUAUGGGAGGGAGAAUGUUGGCAUGAGUAGCGAGAGGUGGGUGAGAAUCCCACAGGCCGUAAACCCAAGGUUUCCAGGGGAAGGGUCGUCCGCCCUGGGUUAGUCGGGACCUAAGCUGUGGCCGAAAGGCGUAGUUGAUGGAAAAAUGGUUGAUAUUCCUGUAUUACCGAUACACGUUUGAGAGAAGGGAUGACAAAGUAGGAUAAGCUAAGCACACUGUUGGUUAUGUGUGUCACAUCAUUGAGGCAGUUAAAGUAGGCAAAUACGCUUUGAUAAUGCUGGGAUGUGAGGGGGAUAGAAAUUUAGUAGAGAAGUAGCUGAUUUCACACUGUCAAUAAAAGUCUCUAUCGAGGUUAAAGGUACCCGUACCGCAAACCGACACAGGUGGGUGAGGAGAGUAUCCUAAGGCCAGCGAGAGAACUGUUGUUAAGGAACUCGGCAAAAUGACCCCGUAACUUAGGGAUAAGGGGUGCCACCAUCAGGUGGCCGCAGAGAAUAGGCCCAAGCGACUGUUUACCAAAAACAUAGGUUUCUGCUAAGUCGCAAGACGAUGUAUAGGAGCUGACGCCUGCCCGGUGCUGGAAGGUUAAGGGGAUCUGUUAGAGCAAUCGAAGCAGUGAACUUAAGCC